rnacentral:rRNA from 1 species
AUUGAACGCUGGCGGCAUGCUUUACACAUGCAAGUCGAACGGUAACAGGGAGAUUGCUCCGCUGACGAGUGGCGAACGGGUGAGUAAUGCGUCGGAACGUGCCGAGUAGUGGGGGAUAACGCAGCGAAAGUUGUGCUAAUACCGCAUACGUACUGAGGUAGAAAGUGGGGGACCUUCGGGCCUCACGCUAUUCGAGCGGCCGACGUCUGAUUAGCUAGUAGGGGAGGUAAAGGCUCACCUAGGCGACGAUCAGUAGCGGGUCUGAGAGGAUGCUCCGGCACACUGGGACUGAGACACGGCCCAGACUCCUACGGGAGGCAGCAGUGGGGAAUUUUGGACAAUGGGCGAAAGCCUGAUCCAGCCAUGCCGCGUGUCUGAAGAAGGCCUUCGGGUUGUAAAGGACUUUUGUCGGGGAGGAAAUCCCCAGCGUCAAUACCGCUGGGGGAUGACAGUACCUGAAGAAUAAGCACCGGCUAACUACGUGCCAGCCGCCGCCGUAACAC